rnacentral:lncRNA from 1 species
UCUCUCUCCUGCUCUGCCAUGGUAAGACAUGCUUGCUUACCCUUCGCCUUCCACUGUGAUUAUUAGGUACCUGAGGCCUCCUCAGCUAUGCCUCCUAUACAGCCUGCAGUUUCUUUCAUAGCAGACAAGUUCAUCUUCAAGAAAACUAAGAGAUCUCUUCCCCUGACAAAAAACAACUCCAUGUUUGAUGGGACUCAGACCUGGGCUCUUCUGUCACCUCUAGGUAGGGAGGUCUUGGAGAGCAAGUGAGACCAGAGUGUUCAUGGAAAGUCACCAUCCACAGACAUUGGAAAAAUAGUCAUUCCCAAUUUCUGCUAUGUGAUCCCG